UACGUAGGGUGCGAGCGUUGUCCGGAAUUAUUGGGCGUAAAGAGCUCGUAGGCGGCCACUUAAGUCUGGGGUGAAAGGUUCAGCGCUCAACGCGAACAGUGCCUUGGAUACUGGGUGGCUUGAGUCUGGGAGAGGGUAGUGGAAUUCCUGGUGUAGCGGUGAAAUGCGUAGAUAUCAGGAGGAACACCGGUGGCGAAGGCGGCUACCUGGCCUAAGACUGACGCUGAGGUGCGAAAGCGUGGGGAGCGAACGGG
rnacentral:rRNA from 1 species